rnacentral:rRNA from 1 species
UGGGGAAUAUUGGACAAUGGGCGAAAGCCUGAUCCAGCCAUGCCGCGUGUGUGAAGAAGGCCUUUUGGUUGUAAAGCACUUUAAGUGGGGAGGAAAAGCUUAUGGUUAAUACCCAUAAGCCCUGACGUUACCCACAGAAUAAGCACCGGCUAACUCUGUGCCAGCAGCCGCGGUAAUACAGAGGGUGCAAGCGUUAAUCGGAAUUACUGGGCGUAAAGCGCGCGUAGGUGGUUAUUUAAGUCAGAUGUGAAAGCCCCGGGCUUAACCUGGGAACUGCAUCUGAUACUGGAUAACUAGAGUAGGUGAGAGGGGAGUAGAAUUCCAGGUGUAGCGGUGAAAUGCGUAGAGAUCUGGAGGAAUACCGAUGGCGAAGGCAGCUCCCUGGCAUCAUACUGACACUGAGGGCGAAAGCGUGGGUAGCAAACAGGAUUAGAUACCCUGGUAGUCCACGCCGUAAACGAUGUCUACCAGUCGUUGGGUCUUUUAAAGACUUAUGACGCAGUUAACGCAAUAAGUAGACCGCCUGGGGAGUACGGCCGCAAGGUU